AUGAAUGAUAAUAUUAGCACUGAAUUGGUGAUAAAUCCUGAACUUAGGGCAAUAAAGACAAUUCUUAUGAGGAGCUAUGAUGGUUUGCCAUACCAUCUCAAGGCUGCUUUCUUAUACCUGUCCAUAUUUCCAGAAGACCACAUAAUUAGGUGGGGUCGCUUGGUUAGGCGUUGGAUUGCAGAGGGUUACUCAAGGGAUAUGCAUGGCAUGAGUGCAAUUGAACUUUGUCGGAGGUACUUUGAUGAGCUGAUGGAUAGGAGUAUCAUCCUGCCAGGGGAAGAAAUAGACCAGUACAGUAGGAAAAAUAAUUCUUUCCAACUUCAUGAUAUGAUCCGUGAAAUAUGCAUCUCAAAGGCUAGGGAGGAAAACCUUGUUUUCACGCUGGAGGAAGGAUGUUGUUUGAGCGAAACACAAGGUGCAAUACGGCAUCUUGUGAUAGGCAGCAACUGGAAAAGGGAUAAGGAUGUGUUGGAGAGCAUGCUGGAUUUGUCACAUGUACGGUCAUUGACCGUGUUCGGAGAGUGGAGAUCGUUUUUCAUUUCUGACAAUAUGAGGUUCCUCCGAGUGCUUGACUUAGAAGACACAUUGGAGUUAUGA
rnacentral:rRNA from 1 species